CCCACCGUGCACGGCCCAAAGCCCACCCGGCGACCUCGAGCCGCGUCCGCCGGAGACGAUUGCCCCCGCCGCCGGGCGCGGGAAUGGCGUUCUCCUUCGCCUCGCCGGCGCCGCAGAAUCCGUUCCAGACACCGGCGCAGACCCCAUCCCUCUCGCCUUCGCCGUUUCAGUUUAGCUUGCCGCAGCCGCAGCAGCAGCCGCCGCAACAGCAACUGGCGGCGCCGUCUGCGCAACCGCCGCAGCAGCAGCUGAUGCUAUAUACGACGGACGGGAAGCCCGCGGGGUACAACACGAAGUGGGAGGAGCUUCACUCCGAGUCGCAGAAGGCGCUCCUCCAGAUCGAGGAUAAAAUAAGGGAGUACAGGGAUGAGAGCGAGAGGUUGGAUCAGUGUUCUCGCCUUCAUGACUCAUCGAUCUCAAAUGUUAAUUUUGAACAUGAUGCAAGUGAAAUCGCUCAGGAACUUGGAGGGACAACAACUAUGAUGGAAAGAGAGAAGGCUUCUGUUCAAGAGUUAAUGACUGUUGUGAAUGAAAUGAUGCGGAACACAGAAUUUUCUAUUAGGUCAUAUAUGAUGCUGAGACCAAGAUUUAUCCGUCCAGGUGUUGGAGCAAAUGGUAGUGGCUCAAAUCCUUCCGGUCCUGCUGGAGCUCAGUCCAAUCAGCCAGUUGCAGUGGCACCAACCAUUGAUUUCUACAGUGGGAUCCCAAAGCGACCUUCCCUUUUUAUGCAACAGACUAUCAACAAAUUUGAGAAGUAUCUUGGAGAAUGCUGCAAGUGGAUUGCUGAGCUAGAACAGCUUGUUCAAAUGGAGAACAAUAAAAGGCAAUCAGCCUCACUAGAAUCUCUACCGAAGGUUAUGUCGAAUGUGCAUGAUUAUUUCAUCUAUGUUGCUUCUAAGGUGGAAAAUCUUCAUCAGUACGUCGAGUCAUUGAAAACUGAAUAUCUACAUGAGCAGAGGCGAAUGGGUAAUGCCAAUGAUCCAUUUUUAGAGGCAAAUAGACGGGAAGCGGCUAAACAAGAAGCAGCUGCUAGAAGGGUACAUCCAACAUUGCAUUUGCCUGCUCCUGUACAGCCCACAACUCAAAUUGCUGGAACAGCAACGAGUCAGCCACAGCAAUCAUUGAUUCCUUCUGGAGCGACUUCUUCAAGUGCUUUUCCAUCUUUCAGCACCCCAGUUUCUGCUCCAUCUUCUUCGAGUCUCUUUUCAACUCCAACUCUAUCAAGCAACCUUUUUGGUUCCUCUGGAUCAGCCCCGCUGUCCACACCAUUUGGGACAGUCUCCACUCCGACGCUUGGAUCAACACCAGCUCCAUCUGGAUUUGGGAAUACAACUCCAUCUUUUGCUUCAACGCCGGCCAUAGGUGGAACCUCAUUGUUUUCUACACCAUUUGGAGGUGUAGCUACAGCUUCAGGAUCCAGCUUUGGUGGUACAUCUAAAGUGAGGUCAAAACCUCGGGGCCGACGCUAGGUGUAGCUGAUCAACAUGAAAUAGCUGGUUCCUUCGGUUGGCAUUUGCUGCAGGCGUUGUUUGCUGGUAGUUGUGUCAAGGGCUUGGAAGUCAAGCGUUGACCUGAGCGAUUAUUUCAGUGGCGCUAAGCUACUGUCGGAUGAACGGAGACGGUUCCACGGCCUCGUUCGAUGACCACGUCAGAAAGGAAAUAGCUCGUCCAGUUUGACUUUUUGAUGGUUGAGGAGUGGCAUUGUGUUCUCAGUGGAUAAAAUAAAAUCGCUAUCAUGCCAGCGGCGGUGUUUUUUAACCUAAUUGCAUCCUAAAGUCAGUACACCUGUGCCCUUCAAGGGCAACAUCACAGUGCGACUGCUCCUAUGUGAAUGGUUAAAAACAAAAAUAAUAGUGGGAUUAUAUAUUAUAGGGAAGUUCUAAAAUUACUCAAUCCAUUCUAUAUUAUAAAACUUACUGAGUU